GAUGAACGCUGGCGGCGUGCCUAAUACAUGCAAGUCGAGCGAACGGACGAGAAGCUUGCUGCUCUGAUGUUAGCGGCGGACGGGUGAGUAACACGUGGAUAACCUACCUAUAAGACUGGGAUAACUUCGGGAAACCGGAGCUAAUACCGGAUAAUAUUUUGAACCGCAUGGUUCAAAAGUGAAAGACGGUCUUGCUGUCACUUAUAGAUGGAUCCGCGCUGCAUUAGCUAGUUGGUAAGGUAACGGCUUACCAAGGCAACGAUGCAUAGCCGACCUGAGAGGGUGAUCGGCCACACUGGAACUGAGACACGGUCCAGACUCCUACGGGAGGCAGCAGUAGGGAAUCUUGCGCAAUGGGCGAAAGCCUGACGGAGCAACGCCGCGUGAGUGAUGAAGGUCUUCGGAUCGUAAAACUCUGUUAUUAGGGAAGAACAUAUGUGUAAGUAACUGUGCACAUCUUGACGGUACCUAAUCAGAAAGCCACGGCUAACUACGUG
rnacentral:rRNA from 1 species